GUUAGCGUGGUGUAGUGGUUUGAGUAUUGGACUAUGACUCUGGAGACCAGGGUUCAAUUCCCAGCUCAGCCU